AUACGUAGGUGACAAGCGUUAUCCGGAUUUACUGGGCGUAAAGGGCGUGUAGGCGGUCUUGCAAGUCAGAAGUGAAAUUCCCGGGCUUAACUUGGGCGCUGCUUCUGAAACUGCUUUACUUGAGUGCUGGAGAGGAUAGUGGAAUUCCUAGUGUAGCGGUAAAAUGCGCAGAUAUUAGGAGGAACACCGGUGGCGAAGGCGGCUAUCUGGACAGUAACGUACGCUGAGGCGCGAAAGCGUGGGGAGCAAACAGGAUUAGAUACCCUGGUAGUCCACGCCGUAAACGUUGAAUACUAGGUGUAGGGGGUAUCGACUCCCUCUGUGCCGCAGUUAACACAAUAAGUAUUCCGCCUGGGGAGUACGGCCGCAAGGUUGAAACUUAAAUGAAUUGACGGGG
rnacentral:rRNA from 1 species